rnacentral:rRNA from 1 species
ACGAGGAUUCCCCUAGUAACUGCGAGUGAAGCGGGAAAAGCUCAAAUUUGAAAUCUGGCAGUCCUCUGGCUGUCCGAGUUGUAAACUAGAGAAGUGUUACCCGCGUUGGACCGUGUACAAGUCUCCUGGAAUGGAGCGUCAUAGAGGGUGAGAAUCCCGUCUUUGACACGGACUACCAAGGCUUUGUGGUACGCUCUCAAAGAGUCGAGUUGUUUGGGAAUGCAGCUCAAAAUGGGUGGUAAAUGCCAUCUAAAGCUAAAUAUUGGCGAGAGACCGAUAGCGAACAAGUACCGUGAGGGAAAGAUGAAAAGAACUUUGGAAAGAGAGUUAAACAGUACGUGAAAUUGCUGAAAGGGAAACGCUUAAAGUCAGUCGCGUCGGCUUGGAAUCAACCUUGCUUUUGCUGGGUGUACUUCCUUGUCGAUGGGUCAACAUCAGUUUUGACCGGUGGAUAAAGUCAGUCGGAAUGUGGCUCCCUCGGGAGUGUUAUAGCCUUCUGUCGCAUGCAUCGGUUGGGACUGAGGACCGCAGCACGCCGUUAAGGCCUGGUUUCGACCAAGUUCGUGCUUAGGAUGU